rnacentral:rRNA from 1 species
AUUGAACGCUGGCGGCAUGCUUUACACAUGCAAGUCGAGCGGCAGCACAGGGAGCUUGCUCCUGGGUGGCGAGUGGCGAACGGGUGAGUAAUGUAUCGGAACGUGCCUGGUAGUGGGGGAUAACUACUCGAAAGAGUGGCUAAUACCGCAUGAGAUCUUUGGAUGAAAGCGGGGGACCUUCGGGCCUCGUGCUACUGGAGCGGCCGAUAUCAGAUUAGGUUGUUGGUGGGGUAAAGGCCUACCAAGCCUGCGAUCUGUAGCUGGUCUGAGAGGACGACCAGCCACACUGGGACUGAGACACGGCCCAGACUCCUACGGGAGGCAGCAGUGGGGAAUUUUGGACAAAGGGCGCAAGCCUGAUCCAGCAAUGCCGCGUGCAGGACGAAGGCCUUCGGGUUGUAAACUGCUUUUGUACAGAACGAAAAGUCUCUGGCUAAUAUCUAGAGAUCAUGACGGUACUGUAAGAAUAAGCACCGGCUAACUACGUG